rnacentral:antisense_RNA from 1 species
AGUUCCCGUUCUGCAGCUCCCCGUUCACGUUCUGCAUGGACAGGAUCUCCAACUCGAACUGACCCGAGGCCCCACACACCUGCCGGCGAGGGAAGGAGGUUGGACCGUAUAUUAUGGAGCACCUUUUGCAAGGAUGAAAUACUCAGUCUGGAUGGAUGGGAAUAAUUCAGCUGGGGAUUUGGAGGCCCUAAAGGGCAGUGUAGCCAAUGGACAGGUGAUCCCAGGUACCUGCAUGAGUGGAGGCAGGCCCUUCCUGCAGACCUGCACUGAACUAUAACAUGGGCAUAGAGGGCUGGCCUGAGUGAUCAAUAGAAUACUGUAGAGGCAACAACAUGUGGCUUCUGAGGAAGCAUUGUAGCCUCUUGGUUUGUUCAUGCUGUGGAAGCCAGCUGCCAUGUCAAGAGGAUGCUCAAGCAGCCCUGUGGAAAGGCCCGUAUGCAACUCUCAGAAAGAAGAGUCUAUGUCCCUGUACACAGAAUCUGG